UACGGAGGGUGCAAGCAUUGAUCGGAAUUACUGGGCGUAAAGGGCGCGUAGGCGGUCUUAAAAGUCAGAUGUGAAAUUCCGGGGCUCAACCCCGGAGCUGCAUUUGAAACUCUAAGACUAGAGUGCAUUUAGAGAAAACGGAAUUCCACGUGUAGCGGUGAAAUGCGUAGAUAUGUGGAAGAACACCGGUGGUGAAGACGGUUUUCCGGGAUGACACUGACGCUGAGGCGCGAAAGCUAGGGGAGCAAACAGG
rnacentral:rRNA from 1 species